ensembl:lncRNA
GUAGAACUCCAGAAAGUCAAUGAGUCAAUGGACUGACUCAUCUGGGAAACCCAAAUUUUCAGUCACUCUGUCCCCUGGGUGUCCUCUAGAGUGAGACUUGAUGGCUGUGCAUCUCAAAAAACAGAAAUAGAAUGCUGGGGCUGAUGUUGGCACAGUUGGCUUCUGCCAUUACACAGUGCUGCCCAGGGCCCACAAGCCUUGCCACCUCUCACUGGAAGAGGGCUGCCUUGGUGAGAGACAGCCUGGACCAGGACCAGAGAUAGCUCUGUGGUGCCCUCUCAAACACAUUGCUCCUGGGAGCCCUAGGGGACUCCCAGAUGGUUAGGUGUUCUGAGAAAACAUGUUUGGGAAACCCGAGUGAAACUUAUCAAGGCAGAUCUGUUUGCAUGGCAGUGCUCCUGGAUGAAGGGACAACAUGCAGAUGCCAUUUCUCAAGCUGUUUGGUUUUUGUUUUUAAGAUUUAAAAAAUUAUUUUUAUUUUUCAAAAAUAGAUACCCUUCUAGGGCCAGGUGGUGGUAGUGCCCACCUUUAAUCCCAGCACUUGGGAGGCAGAGACAGGCCAGUCUCUGAGUUGGAGGCCAGCCUAGUCUACAGAGCGAGUUCCAGGAUAGCCAGGGCUCCACAGAGAAACCCUGUCUCAAGAAGAAGAAAAUAAAAAUGUUUUUGUCCCCAGAUGUCAUUUGAAUGGCUGAUACACAUCAUAUGAGGAAGUGAUGGCAAGAUCCUAAAGAAGCUGUGGACGAUGAGACUUGGCAAAGUCAUACCCUGCACUGCAGACAUGCUCAAAUGUUCAUUCCCCGAGACAGAGAAAUAAGAAGGCCAGGUCGUGGUAGCACACACCUUUAAUUCCAGCACUCGUGAGGGGGAGGCAGUCAGAUCUCUGAGUUUGAUGCUGGCAGCCUGGUCUACAGAGAGAGUUCCAGGACAGUCAGGACUACACAGAGAAACCCUCUCUUGAAAAACAACAAGAAAAGAAAAUAUUCGUCUCAGAAGGAAGGAAAGAUGGGAAGAAAGGAAGGAGGAGCCAGCAUGUGUGACACAGGAUGAGCAGUCCCAGCCGUGGUCCUCACUAGCUGUGCUACUUGCGGGUGGGGGGUGGGGGGCUAAGCCCUUUGCAUAAGAGCUCUUGCCUGUAGUCCAGCACUUGGGAGGCUGGGGCAGGAGAAUUGUCAUCACUUGGAUACCAGCUUGGGCUACAAAGUGAGUUCCAGCCUGAGCCCCAUAUGGGGGCAGGGACACAACAGGACAAGAAAGACUGGGGGCAAUUCUAAGGUGCCUCAUCUGAAAGAUCAAAGUCCUACUUUCUCCUUUCUGAUGUACUUGGAGAUCUCUGCCCACAGGAGGUCAGAAUGCAAGCAUGGGGAGAACAAGGAAGAACCCAUCCCCUUGUGUGCUGCCUGUGUGGAUAUUGUGAUUGCUGUCAGUACUAACUAAACCCUGGGUGACUGAGCCCAGGAGUCAUGCACAUUUAUCCCUGUCAUCAGUCCAAUUCUGCCAGGCUGAGAAGGCCCCAGGCUCUGGGAUACAAGAAGCUGCUAUUUGGGACCCACCCUUUUCUCCACCAAGCAGAUGUAGCUCUUGGAAGCCAAGGCUAGGGGCCCAAAGCAGGAAGGAGAUUGAGCUGGGGUCCUGAAGAGGGUGCUGCUUGACUGCACAGAGCCUGCCCUGCCCUACCCUGCCCUGCAGAGGUGGAGUAGGUUGGCUCCAACAAUGACUAAGUUACAGAAUAAAGGAUGUGGCCCUCCCUGGCCAGGCAGAAAGUGUGCAGGAGCCAUGCCUGAGCAAUA